CCAAAAGAGUUAAACACAGGGACACAUUUGAAGUCUCGGAGCCGGGUGUUGGUUCCGGUAGUGAUCGAGGGAAAUUAGUACCGAAGUCCGGGAUGGAAGAUGGCGAGAAAAGCUGUGUGUAUUUCUGCGGUGCCCGUACCGCAAACCGACACAGGUAGGUAGGAAGAAGAUUCUAAGGCCAACGGGAGAAGGGUUGUUAAGGAACUCGGCAAAUUGACCCCGUAACUUCGGGAGAAGGGGUGCUCCAGAGAUGGAGCCGCAGAGAAUCGGCCCAAGCAACUGUUUACCAAAAACACAGGUUUGUGCUAAAUCGAAAGAUGACGUAUACGAGCUGACGCCUGCCCGGUGCUGGAAGGUUAAGAGGAGAUGUGCAAGCAUUGAAUCGAAGCCCCAGUGAGCGGCGGCCGUAACUAUAACGGUCCUAAGGUAGCGAAAUUCCUUGUCAGGUAAGUUCUGACCCGCAUGAAAGGCGUAAUGAUUUGGGCACUGUCUCGACAGCCCGCCCGGCGAAAUUGUAGUACCGGUGAAGAUGCCGGUUACCCGCGACAAGACGGAAAGACCCCAUGGAGCUUUACUGUAGCCUAAUAUUGGGUUUCGAUGUUGCAUGCACAGGAUAGAUGGGACACUAGGAAGCAAGUGCUUUGGCAUUUGUGGAGUGGCCGUUGGGAUACCAUCCUUGCGAUAUUGGAAUUCUAACCUGCGCCUUUGAAUCAAGGCGGGGGACAUUGUUAGGUGGGCAGUUUGACUGGGGCGGUCGCCUCCUAAAGAGUAACGGAGGCGUUCAAAGGUUCGCUCAGCUUGAACGGAAAUCAAGCAAAAGAGUGCAAACGCAGAAGCGAGCCUAACUGCUAGACUGACGGGUCGAGCAGUAACGAAAGUUGGAGUUAGUGAUCCGGUGGUAUGUGAGUGGAAAUGCCAUCGCUCAACGGAUAAAAGUUACCCUGGGGAUAACAGGCUGAUCUCCCCCAAGAGUCCACAUCGACGGGGAGGUUUGGCACCUCGAUGUCGGCUCAUCGCAUCCUGGGGCUGUAUUCGGUCCCAAGGGUUUGGCUGUUCGCCAAUUAAAGCGGUACGCGAGCUGGGUUCAGAACGUCGUGAGACAGUUCGGUCCCUAUCUGUCGUGGGCGCAGGAUAUUUGAUGGGAGCUGUUCCUAGUACGAGAGGACCGGAGCGGACGUACCUCUGGCGCACCAGUUGUUCUGCCAAGGGCAUAGCUGGGCAACUAUGUACGGAUCGGAUAAACGCUGAAAGCAUCUAAGCGUGAAGCCGACCCAAAGAUAAGAUAUCCCAUUGUUUCAAACAAGUAAGACCCCUUGAAGACUACAAGGUUGAUAGGCAUGAUGUGUAAGUGGAGUGAUCCAUUCAGCAAGCAUGUACUAAUAGGUCGAGGGCUUGACCG
rnacentral:rRNA from 1 species